GAUGAACGCUGGCGGCGUGCCUAAUACAUGCAAGUCGAGCGAACAGAUAAGGAGCUUGCUCCUUUGACGUUAGCGGCGGACGGGUGAGUAACACGUGGGUAACCUACCUAUAAGACUGGGAUAACUUCGGGAAACCGGAGCUAAUACCGGAUAACAUUUGGAACCGCAUGGUUCUAAGGUGAAAGAUGGUUUUGCUAUCACUUAUAGAUGGACACGCGCCGUAUUAGCUAGUUGGUAAGGUAACGGCUUACCAAGGCGACGAUACGUAGCCGACCUGAGAGGGUGAUCGGCCACACUGGAACUGAGACACGGUCCAGACUCCUACGGGAGGCAGCAGUAGGGAAUCUUCCGCAAUGGGCGAAAGCCUGACGGAGCAACGCCGCGUGAGUGAUGAAGGGUUUCGGCCCGUAAAACUCUGUUAUUAGGGAAGAACAAACGUGUAAGUAACUGUGCACGUCUUGACGGUACCUAAUCAGAAAGCCACGGCUAACUACGUGCCAGCCGCCGCAGUAA
rnacentral:rRNA from 1 species